rnacentral:lncRNA from 1 species
CUCCACCAUCAUACCACUACUCGUCGCCUCCUCCUCCAGUGAAAUCUCCCCCACUUCUAUACCAUUACUCUUCCCCUCCGCCUCCCAAGAAGUCCCCCCCACCACCAUACCACUACUCCUCACCUCCUCCUCCGGUAAAGUCUCCACCGCCUCCAUACCACUACUCGUCACCUCCAUCACCCAAGAAGUCCCCCCCACCACCAUACCACUACUCAUCGCCUCCUCCUCCGGUUAAGUCUCCCCCACCACCGUACCACUACUCAUCACCACCUCCUCCCAAGAGGUCUCCUCCGCCACCGUAUCACUACUCGUCACCACCUCCUCUCAAAAAGUCUCAUCCGCCACCAUACCAUUACACAUCACCUCCACCACCUAAGAAGUCACCACCUCCUCCAUACUACUAUACAUCACCCCCACCUCCAUCACACUAUUAAGCUCACAAAGAAUGACAUCUUUCAAACAAAGAGAGGCUUUCAACCGCUAUGUACUUCCGAAAUUUUGUGAGAAUACUAUGUGUUUGUGUGUAAUAAAGGGUCUAUAAACUUGGAUAUUCGAUGUCAUCAUUUUUUUCAAUUAUAAAGCAAUGUAAGAAAGGUGAAAUGGGAAGAGUAUACCUAUCAAAUAAAUUCAACCAUUAUCAUAAAUCCUUUUAAAAAUAAAAAUAGUGUAUCAUUGUAAGAAAUUAUAUUAGACGCGCAUCUCAUUAAAAUUGUGGAGCCCAAUUUAGAAAAGCGAUUUAUAAUUCAGGAUAUUUAGUUUCAAGAUGU